rnacentral:rRNA from 1 species
UUAUAAAUAAAAAUUGUUAAUAAGAAAUUAAAUGGAAUCAUUAAAUUUAAAGAAUUUGGCGGUAUUUUAAAUAAUUAGAGGAAUUUGUUAAUUAAAUGAUAACCCACGAGUGGAGGGUCCUAAUAGAGUUUUAUAUAUUGUUGUAUAAAAAUUAUUUUAUAAGAAAAAUAAUUAAAAAAUUUAAUUUAAUUUGAAUUCAAAUCAAAAUGUAGAGUUAUUAGGGUUGGAUGAAUUACAAUUUAAUUUAGUAACGGAAUUAUUUUUUUAAAAGAAUAAUGAAGUAGGAUUUAAUAGUAAAUUUGAAAAAAUUUUUAGAUUGAAAAAUAAAUUAAAAUAUG